GCGGCCGCGGGCGACUCCUGGUACCCCCGAGGCCCCGCGAACUCACCUUCACAAAGCUGUCGGCGUCCGGGAAGCCUGGCAGCACCAUCUCUCCGUCGGAUUUGGUUGCGCUGGUCGCCGACAGGACCCUGGGCUCCCGGGUACUGGGUGGCGCCAUUUUUUCAGCCUGCACGGCUCGUCUCGCGAGAGCUUGUCGGCCGAGGAGACGGGACGCGUGCGCACCACGCAUGCGCCAGGUAAGCUCCUGAAGAAAGCGUCUAGCUCCAACUGUGCUUCCUCCCUCCAGUACCCUCUGAACUCCUCCAAGCAGACGUUGUUUCCUGCAGACAUCGCUGGAACCAUUCUGGUUAACACAGAGUGGGAACUCAGUACACAUUUGUGAAGUGAACUCCUGGAAGAGCUCUUGUGAGGGAGGCACCGAAUUAUCAGGCAGCUCAAGAGAUAGAUUCACUCUCCUGAAAUUAGAGAUGGGAUGCCCUUAAUACAAUUCAUUCCACCCAUUAAGUCUUCAAUAAAUGUUCAGCAUAUCCAGUUAAGAGAAAAAAAAAAAAA
rnacentral:lncRNA from 1 species